rnacentral:rRNA from 1 species
UACGAAGGGGGCUAGCGUUGUUCGGAAUCACUGGGCGUAAAGGGGGCACAGGCGGAUUUUUAAGUCAGGGGUGAAAUCCCGAGGCUCAACCUCGGAACUGCCUUUGAUACUGGGGAUCUUGAGUCCGGAAGAGGUGAGUGGAACUGCGGGUGUAGAGGUGAAAUUCGUAGAUAUUCGCAAGAACACCGGUGGCGAAGGCGGCUCACUGGUCCGGAACUGACGCUGAGGCACGAAAGCGUGGGGAGCAAACAG